CUCUUAUUUGCUGUUGUGUGGUCUCUCCUGCCCCUCUGGGCAGGGAAGACUUCCCUCCCUUACUCAAGAUGUUGUUGCCUUACUCAUUUCUAUUGGGGUUGUGUGGUGCAUCUGGUGUUAUUUAGAGAGGGUUUCUUUGAUUUGCUGUAUGUGUGUUAGUUUGGUUAGUAUUGAGUAUUGCAAGCAGAAUUAGGGGACUAGAAGUGAGGAUUUUUGCUAUUAUGGAGCCAAAGGUUUGG
rnacentral:misc_RNA from 1 species